rnacentral:rRNA from 1 species
AUUGAACGCUGGCGGCAGGCUUAACACAUGCAAGUCGAGCGGAGAUGAGGUGCUUGCACCUUAUCUUAGCGGCGGACGGGUGAGUAAUGCUUAGGAAUCUGCCUAUUAGUGGGGGACAACAUUCCGAAAGGAAUGCUAAUACCGCAUACGUCCUACGGGAGAAAGCAGGGGAUCUUCGGACCUUGCGCUAAUAGAUGAGCCUAAGUCGGAUUAGCUAGUUGGUGGGGUAAAGGCCUACCAAGGCGACGAUCUGUAGCGGGUCUGAGAGGAUGGUCCGCCACACUGGGACUGAGACACGGCCCAGACGCCUACGGGAGGCAGCAGUGGGGAAUAUUGGACAAUGGGGGGAACCCUGAUCCAGCCAUGCCGCGUGUGUGAAGAAGGCCUUAUGGUUGUAAAGCACUUUAAGCGAGGAGGAGGCUACUGAGACUAAUACUCUUGGAUAGUGGACGUUACUCGCAGAAUAAGCACCGGCUAACUCUGUGCCAGCAGCCGCGGUAA